UACGGAGGGGGCUAGCGUUGUUCGGAAUUACUGGGCGUAAAGCGCACGUAGGCGGCUUUGUAAGUUAGAGGUGAAAGCCCAGGGCUUAACCCUGGAAUUGCCUUUAAGACUGCAUCGCUAGAAUCGUGGAGAGGUAAGUGGAAUUCCGAGUGUAGAGGUGAAAUUCGUAGAUAUUCGGAAGAACACCAGUGGCGAAGGCGACUUACUGGACACGUAAUUGACGCUGAGGUGCGAAAGCGUGGGGA
rnacentral:rRNA from 1 species